CUACGGGGCGCUCCAGUGAGGAAUAUUGCACAAUGGGGGGAACCCUGAUGCAGCAACGCCGCGUGGAGGAUGACGCAUUUCGGUGUGUAAACUCCUUUUAUAUGUCAAGAAAAUGACGGUAGCAUAUGAAUAAGCACCGGCUAACUCCGUGCCAGCAGCCGCGGUAAUACGGAGGGUGCAAGCGUUACUCGGAAUCACUGGGCGUAAAGGACGCGUAGGCGGGUUGGAAAGUCAGGUGUGAAAUCCUACAGCUUAACUGUAGAACUGCACUUGAAACUUCUAAUCUAGAGUAUGGGAGGGGGAGAUGGAAUUAGUGGUGUAGGGGUAAAAUCCGUAGAUAUCACUAGGAAUACCUAAAGCGAAGGCGAUCUCCUGGAACAUUACUGACGCUAAGGCGUGAAAGCGUGGGAGCAAACGGGAUUAGAAACCCUAGUAGUC
rnacentral:rRNA from 1 species